GGUAAGAUGGCCGAGAAGGCAGCAGGUUGUAGCCCUGUGCACGUGGGGUCUAUCCCGCUCUUAUCA
rnacentral:tRNA from 1 species